rnacentral:rRNA from 1 species
UUAAGCGACUAAGCGUACACGGUGGAUGCCCUGGCAGUCAGAGGCGAUGAAGGACGUGCUAAUCUGCGAAAAGCGUCGGUAAGGUGAUAUGAACCGUUAUAGCCGGCGAUGUCCGAAUGGGGAAACCCAGUGCAAUUCGUUGCACUAUCGUUAACUGAAUACAUAGGUUAACGAGGCGAACCGGGGGAACUGAAACAUCUAAGUACCCCGAGGAAAAGAAAUCAACCGAGAUUCCCCCAGUAGCGGCGAGCGAACGGGGAGCAGCCCAGAGUCUGAAUCAGCUUGUGUGUUAGUGGAACGGUCUGGAAAGUCCGACGGUACAGGGUGAUAGUCCCGUACACCAAAAUGCACAGGUUGUGAACUCGAAGAGUAGGGCGGGACACGUGGUAUCCUGUCUGAAUAUGGGGGGACCAUCCUCCAAGGCUAAAUACUCCUGACUGACCGAUAGUGAACCAGUACCGUGAGGGAAAGGCGAAAAGAACCCCGGCGAGGGGAGUGAAAAAGAACCUGAAACCGUGUACGUACAAGCAGUGGGAGCACCUUCGGGUGUGACUGCGUACCUUUUGUAUAAUGGGUCAGCGACUUAUAUUCUGUAGCAAGGUUAACCGUAUAGGGGAGCCGCAGGGAAACCGAGUCUUAACUGGGCGUUAAGUUGCAGGGUAUAGACCCGAAACCCGGUGAUCUAGCCAUGGGCAGGUUGAAGGUUGGGUAACACUAACUGGAGGACCGAACCGACUAAUGUUGAAAAAUUAGCGGAUGACUUGUGGCUGGGGGUGAAAGGCCAAUCAAACCGGGAGAUAGCUGGUUCUCCCCGAAAGCUAUUUAGGUAGCGCCUCGUGAAUUCAUCUUCGGGGGUAGAGCACUGUUUCGGCUAGGGGGUCAUCCCGACUUACCAACCCGAUGCAAACUACGAAUACCGAAGAAUGUUAUCACGGGAGACACACGGCGGGUGCUAACGUCCGUCGUGAAGAGGGAAACAACCCAGACCGCCAGCUAAGGUCCCAAAGUCAUGGUUAAGUGGGAAACGAUGUGGGAAGGCACAGACAGCCAGGAUGUUGGCUUAGAAGCAGCCAUCAUUUAAAGAAAGCGUAAUAGCUCACUGGUCGAGUCGGCCUGCGCGGAAGAUGUAACGGGGCUAAACCAUGCACCGAAGCUGCGGCAGCGACGCUCAGGCGUUGUUGGGUAGGGGAGCGUUCUGUAAGCCUGCGAAGGUGACCUGUGAGGGUUGCUGGAGGUAUCAGAAGUGCGAAUGCUGACAUAAGUAACGAUAAAGCGGGUGAAAAGCCCGCUCGCCGGAAGACCAAGGGUUCCUGUCCAACGUUAAUCGGGGCAGGGUGAGUCGACCCCUAAGGCGAGGCCGAAAGGCGUAGUCGAUGGGAAACAGGUUAAUAUUCCUGUACUUGGUGUUACUGCGAAGGGGGGACGGAGAAGGCUAUGUUAGCCGGGCGACGGUUGUCCCGGUUUAAGCAUGUAGGCUGGUUAUCCAGGCAAAUCCGGAUAAUCAAGGCUGAGGUGUGAUGACGAGGCACUACGGUGCUGAAGUAACAAAUGCCCUGCUUCCAGGAAAAGCCUCUAAGCAUCAGGUAACAUCAAAUCGUACCCCAAACCGACACAGGUGGUCAGGUAGAGAAUACCAAGGCGCUUGAGAGAACUCGGGUGAAGGAACUAGGCAAAAUGGUGCCGUAACUUCGGGAGAAGGCACGCUGGUGUGUAGGUGAAGUCCCUGCGGAUGGAGCUGAGACCAGUCGAAGAUACCAGCUGGCUGCAACUGUUUAUUAAAAACACAGCACUGUGCAAACACGAAAGUGGACGUAUACGGUGUGACGCCUGCCCGGUGCCGGAAGGUUAAUUGAUGGGGUUAUCCGUAAGGAGAAGCUCUUGAUCGAAGCCCCGGUAAACGGCGGCCGUAACUAUAACGGUCCUAAGGUAGCGAAAUUCCUUGUCGGGUAAGUUCCGACCUGCACGAAUGGCGUAAUGAUGGCCAGGCUGUCUCCACCCGAGACUCAGUGAAAUUGAACUCGCUGUGAAGAUGCAGUGUACCCGCGGCAAGACGGAAAGACCCCGUGAACCUUUACUAUAGCUUGACACUGAACAUUGAGCCUUGAUGUGUAGGAUAGGUGGGAGGCUUUGAAGCGUGGACGCCAGUCUGCGUGGAGCCAACCUUGAAAUACCACCCUUUAAUGUUUGAUGUUCUAACGUGGGCCCCUAAUCGGGGUUGCGGACAGUGUCUGGUGGGUAGUUUGACUGGGGCGGUCUCCUCCCAAAGCGUAACGGAGGAGCACGAAGGUUAGCUAAUCCUGGUCGGACAUCAGGAGGUUAGUGCAAUGGCAUAAGCUAGCUUGACUGCGAGCGUGACGGCGCGAGCAGGUGCGAAAGCAGGUCAUAGUGAUCCGGUGGUUCUGAAUGGAAGGGCCAUCGCUCAACGGAUAAAAGGUACUCCGGGGAUAACAGGCUGAUACCGCCCAAGAGUUCAUAUCGACGGCGGUGUUUGGCACCUCGAUGUCGGCUCAUCACAUCCUGGGGCUGAAGUAGGUCCCAAGGGUAUGGCUGUUCGCCAUUUAAAGUGGUACGCGAGCUGGGUUUAGAACGUCGUGAGACAGUUCGGUCCCUAUCUGCCGUGGGCGCUGGAGAAUUGAGGGGGGCUGCUCCUAGUACGAGAGGACCGGAGUGGACGCAUCACUGGUGUUCGGGUUGUCAUGCCAAUGGCACUGCCCGGUAGCUAAAUGCGGAAGAGAUAAGUGCUGAAAGCAUCUAAGCACGAAACUUGCCCCGAGAUGAGUUCUCCCUGAGACUUUAAGUCUCCUGAAGGAACGUUGAAGACGACGACGUUGAUAGGCCGGGUGUGUAAGCGCAGCGAUGCGUUGAGCUAACCGGUACUAAUGAACCGUGAGGCUUAACCU